rnacentral:rRNA from 1 species
GUGGCGACCGGCGCACGGGUGCGUAACACGUAUACAACCUACCUUCAAUUGGGGAAUAACCUGGAGAAAUUUGGACUAAUACCCCAUAGUAAACGGGAGAGGCAUCUUUUUUGUUUUAAAGAUUUAUUGAUUGGAGAUGGGUAUGCGUAGGAUUAGCUAGUUGGUAAGGUAACGGCUUACCAAGGCAACGAUCCUUAGGGGUUCUGAGAGGAAGGUCCCCCACACUGGUACUGAGACACGGACCAGACUCC